CCUACGGGUGGCAGCAGUCGAGAAUCAUUCACAAUGGGGGAAACCCUGAUGGUGCGACGCCGCGUGGGGGAAUGAAGGUCUUCGGAUUGUAAACCCCUGUCAUGUGGGAGCAAAUUAAAAAGAUAGUACCACACGAGGAAGAGACGGCUAACUCUGUGCCAGCAGGCGCGGUAAUACAGAGGUCUCAAGCGUUGUUCGGAAUCACUGGGCGUAAAGCGUGCGUAGGCUGUUUCGUAAGUCGUGUGUGAAAGGCGCGGGCUCAACCCGCGGACGGCACAUGAUACUGCGAGACUAGAGUAAUGGAGGGGGAACCGGAAUUCUUGGUGUAGCAGUGAAAUGCGUAGAUAUCGAGAGGAACACUCGUGGCGAAGGCGGGUUCCUGGACAUUAACUGACGCUGAGGCACGAAGGCCAGGGGAGCGAAAGGGAUUAGAUACCCCGGUAGUC
rnacentral:rRNA from 1 species